UAAUUGGAAAAGGCUCUGCUGAACUUGGGAAAAGAUACAGAUCUGAUUUUAGCAAGAAACGAAUGAAUAACCAUGGCAUGGCUCCACAAAUGUACUCUGUUCAGUCCAUAUUUAGGGCCCUUCUACUACGUUAAUGUGUAUGUCUUUUAUCGGCCGAAAAUUGUGAAAAUUUCACGAUAAAGUUAGGCCUAAUCCCCAGUCAGCUUGUCUACGUGGCCGGGGCGACUGUCAUCCAUUCACAUUUGAGAAGACUUCUCAAGGGCCCAAUUAUCAUGCCAUGCUGCCAACUAGUCGUCCAUAAGACUGCACAUGGCAAGCCUUUCUGUCUACCAACCAGCCAGUAAUCUUGAACCAAGACAUGCUAGAAAAACCAGCAAAUAGCCAGUCAUCGGCAGGCUUUAAAGGGUGCACUAACCGUGCACUGGACUAGCACAGAGAAGAUGUUCAAGAAAGAAAUCCACAUAUUGCAGCGUGCCACACGAAGUUUCACUUUUUCAAACAUGCUGAGGUGCCAGUAAAAAAGGAGUGGAAUUUUCUCUCUGCACGUUGAAUUUCUGUGCUGUCCUCUUUCACGGCAAAGGCAACACUAAAAGUACCUUCUCAACGUUUACAUGCUAACGAGGUUCUGCGUGGCAGUCAUUAUUCUGAAAUAAAGAAUGGAGACAGUAGCUCUUCUAAACCCCAGCAACAAGCACUAACAGAUUAAGGUCACCAGACAAGGAAGCGUUUUCGGCCAGUUGGUUCGUGUCACUGAGACCUCUACAUUGAACAUAAGAUGUCCCCAGUAGCUACGUCAGUGCCUGUUUGGGCCUUUCUGUUUGACGACAAGAAGCUUUCAGGUCAUGCAGACAUCUAGGAGGACGAAGGAGCAGGAAAGGACUCGAACUUAACUGCAACUCAUUUCUAAUUAAACAAAAUGAACAAAUUAAUGUUACAUUAGCUGAAUCUUUCAAUUUCUAAUAAUAUCAGUUAAAUAAGUCAAAGGGAAUCAUGAGACAUACUUUUUCUGCACUAUGCACAAGUAUCGAUUUUUUUUUAACGGAAAGAAUUUAAUAUUAUCAAUUGUUGGUUUACAUGUCAAUCUUAAAUCCUGGGAAAGGUAAUCCGUGCCUAGCUUUAAAUUUGAAAAUUUGCUCGGAAAGAAUUCCACACUUGCCUCUGUGAACAUUUAGCCUCACCAACAAUUUUUUUAAACGACGUCUGUUAUUUUUAAGGUUUUAGAAGGGACAGGUUUUUUUAAGGUAAUGAAACUCAGAAGUUGGGAUACUGGCGUCUUUCCAUUUUCUUUAAACUCGAAACCAUUUUACUGGCACUUGCAGCUCCAUUGAAUAAGGAGGGCAAACUCAAUUUGAGAUUAAUUGGCCGAAAUCAGAAAGCUUGUCAGGGAAUGCCAUUUAUCUGCAGUAGUAUUUCACAGGGGCCAAGUCCAGUGCAAUUUUUGCUUCAGCAAUAAAAUGAGGCAAAGACUCAAAGAUAUGCAGCCUUCUUCCCUUUUUUGUAGCUUUUUGAGAAUGGAUGCAGUACACUGAUUAUUGAAUGGGUCGGUCUGUUUGAGUAAACGGUAAAUAUUAAAUUCCACACACGGACGCUGCUUGACACCCUGUACACGAAA
rnacentral:lncRNA from 1 species